UGGUAAUUAGUUUAAUCAAAACAAAUGAUUUCGACUCAUUAGACUAUGGAACAACCAUAAUUAUCAA
rnacentral:tRNA from 1 species